rnacentral:piRNA from 1 species
UCCUGCAAAACGGAUCGCUUUGACGGU